AAAUCCUUGGUGUGUCAUCGAGGAUAACGUAAGGGAAAAUAAUGAUAUUACCUUACUAUUAGUGUCGUCCAAAUGCUCGUGCCAGAAGACUCGGUAAGGCGAGAGACACAAACGUUAAUCGUCUUGAUCAGGCGUAAAGGGUUUGUAGGCGGCUUUAAGUAUCCAAUAUUAAGUUUACUAUUAUAAUUAAUUUUUUUAUCUUUUUAAAGGAUCAAUUAAAGCUAGAAUCUAAUAGGGGUUAAAACAAUGCUUAAGAGAGGUGUACCAACCAUAGAUAUUAAGUAGAGUGAUAAGGGCGAAGGCUUUUUUCCAAUAAAGAUUGACGCUGAGAAACGAAGGUGAGGAUAGAAAAAAGGAUUAGAGACCCUUGUAUCCCUCACUGUCAACGAUGAAUGGUAGUUACUAGGUAGAAAUGACCUAGAGACGAUGUUAACACGAAAACCAUUCCGCCUUGUGAGUACGACUGCAAAGUUGAAAACAAAAAAAUUAGUCGGUUUCG
rnacentral:rRNA from 1 species